UGAUGUCAUCAGCAGGAAACACAGAAUGGU
rnacentral:piRNA from 1 species